rnacentral:rRNA from 1 species
GAGGUUGGCUUCGGCCAGCCUAGUGGCGGACGGGUGAGUAAUGCGUGGGAAUCUGCCUCGUAGUGGGGGAUAACGUAGGGAAACUUACGCUAAUACCGCAUACGCUCUACGGAGGAAAGGGGGGGAUCUUCGGACCUCUCGCUAUGAGAUGAGCCCACGUCUGAUUAGCUAGUUGGUGGGGUAAAGGCCUACCAAGGCGACGAUCAGUAGCCGGCCUGAGAGGGUGGACGGCCACACUGGGACUGAGACACGGCCCAGACUCCUACGGGAGGCAGCAGUGGGGAAUAUUGGACAAUGGGCGAAAGCCUGAUCCAGCAAUGCCGCGUGUGUGAAGAAGGCCUGCGGGUUGUAAAGCACUUUAAGUGGGGAAGAACGGGAUUGCGCUAAUACCGUGAUCCUUUGACGUUACCCACAGAAUAAGCACCGGCUAACUCCGUGCCAGCAGCCGCGGUAAUACGGAGGGUGCGAGCGUUAAUCGGAAUUACUGGGCGUAAAGCGCAUGUAGGCGGUUUGGUAAGUCGGAUGUGAAAUCCCCGGGCUUAACCUGGGAAUGGCAUUCGAUACUGUCAGGCUAGAGUAGGAUAGAGGAGGGGGGAAUUCCGCGUGUAGCAGUGAAAUGCUUAGAUAUGCGGAGGAACACCAAUGGCGAAAGCACCUCUCUGGGUCCAUACUGACGCUGAGAUGCGAAAGCGUGGGGA